UUCGCAAGGGGCAAGUCGCACUCGCAUAAGAGAAUUUUUUAUCAAAGUAAAUUUGUGCUUCGCGAUGCAAGGUGUUCACUGCAUUUGCGAAGAAUGAACUGAGGCUUGGGCAAAAUGUUUAAAUAGUUAUUUUGUCCGAGAUUUUGGGGUUAACUUCAACCAUUUUUGAGCAAUUUUGGAGCUUUUUUGAAGAGGAUUGAAGAUGGAUUCAAGGGGAAGCACUUGAUGGUAAGAAUAAUAGACUUAAUACUCGAUUUUAGUUUGACUUCUACCUAAUUAAUCAUGAAAUUAACCCUAAAAUUGAAGAACUAGGGCUUGUAAUUAAAAACCUAGAAUAUGGGGUUUGAGGGAGUCGUUGUGGUUGAAUUUGAUGCUUUUGGUAUGUAAGAAAUCGUGGGGAGAUGAGGAAUAUAUUAAUGUUAAUUUUAUCGAAUUCGAGAUUUGGGUCCUAGGGGUCGCAUUUAGUAAUUUAAGAAUUUGUGUUGUAAAUUGAUUUUUCUUAUUUGGGCAUCAUUUUCCUAGCAUAUUUUGACAUUGUAAUUCUGAUUUUCGAUAGAUUCGAUGUGAGUGGAGGCCGAUUCGAGGGGAAAAGGCAUCAUGGGAUAGAGUUUG
rnacentral:lncRNA from 1 species